rnacentral:misc_RNA from 1 species
UACGAAGGGGGCGAGCGUUGUUCGGAAUUACUGGGCGUAAAGCGCGUGUAGGCGGUUUGAUCAGUCAGCUGUGAAAUCCCGGGGCUCAACCCCGGAACUGCAGUUGAUACUGUCAGGCUGGAGUGCGGGAGAGGUGAGUGGAAUUCCUAGUGUAGAGGUGAAAUUCGUAGAUAUUAGGAAGAACACCAGUGGCGAAGGCGGCUCACUGGCCCGUAACUGACGCUGAGACGCGAAAGCGUGGGGAGCGAACAGG